rnacentral:rRNA from 1 species
AGAGUGAACGCUGGCGGUAGGCCUAACACAUGCAAGUCGAACGGCAGCACGGUAAGAGCUUGCUCUUAUGGGUGGCGAGUGGCGGACGGGUGAGGAAUACAUCGGAAUCUACCUUUUGGUGGGGGAUAACGUAGGGAAACUUACGCUAAUACCGCAUACGCCCUUCGGGGGAAAGCCGGGGACCAGCAGUGGCCUGGUGCUGAUAGAUGAGCCGAUGUCGGAUUAGCUAGUUGGUGAGGUAAUGGCUCACCAAGGCGACGAUCCGUAGCUGGUCUGAGAGGAUGAUCAGCCACACUGGAACUGAGACACGGUCAGACUCCUACGGGAGCAGCAGUGGGAAUAUGGACAAUGGGCGCAAGCCUGAUCCAGCCAUACCGCGUGGUGAAGAAGGCCUUGGGUUAGUAAAGCCCUUUUGUACGGAAAGAAAGCAUUCGGUUAAUACCCGGUGUUCUGACGGUACCCAAAGAAUAAGCAACGGCUAACUUCG